UACGAAGGGGGCUAGCGUUGCUCGGAAUUACUGGGCGUAAAGCGCACGUAGGCGGAUCUUUAAGUCAGGGGUGAAAUCCUGGAGCUCAACUCCAGAACUGCCUUUGAUACUGAGGAUCUUGAGUUCGGGAGAGGUGAGUGGAACUGCGAGUGUAGAGGUGAAAUUCGUAGAUAUUCGCAAGAACACCAGUGGCGAAGGCGGCUCACUGGCCCGAUACUGACGCUGAGGCACGAAAGCGUGGGGAGCAAACAGGG
rnacentral:rRNA from 1 species